UACAGAGGCCUCAAGCGUUACCCGGAAUUACUGGGCGUAAAGGGUGUGUAGGCGGUUUUAUUAGUCUUCUGUUAAAGCCUUUCGGCUCAACCGAAAGAUCGCAGGGGAAACGGUAAAACUCGGAGGGUGGGAGAGGUGUGCGGAACUCUAGGUGUAGGGGUGAAAUCCGUUGAUAUCUAGGGGAACACCAAAUGCGAAGGCAGCACACUGGCCCAUUCCUGACGCUGAGACACGAAAGCGUGGGUAGCGAACGGG
rnacentral:misc_RNA from 1 species